UUUUUUCUGGUGCAGCUCUUUAGGCAUAGUCCCAGAGGCUGAGCACUGCCAGCAGCUCCUUGACAUUGAAGAAUAUUGCUGCAGUAAAGAAAUGCUUCCUUUUUCCUAGCAAUUCAUUUUUAAUGUGAGAACAGGAAGAAUUAUUUUUUUGAAAGAAAGCAAAAUUAUGACAGGCUUUGCUUCCAUGAAUACUGAGAACAUCAUUAACUGUUUGUUUGAGAGGUGGAAUUGA
rnacentral:lncRNA from 1 species